CGACGUAGGUAACCUGCCUUGUAGCGGGGGAUAACUAUUGGAAACGAUAGCUAAUACCGCAUAACAAUGGAUGACACAUGUCAUUUAUUUUGAAAGGGGCAAUUGCUCCACUACAAGAUGGACCUGCGUUGUAUUAGCUAGUAGGUGAGGUAACGGCUCACCUAGGCGACGAUACAUAGCCGACCUGAGAGGGUGAUCGGCCACACUGGGACUGAGACACGGCCCAG
rnacentral:rRNA from 1 species